AAGAUUUUUCUUCAUGAUUGGGAUCACUAUCCUCUCUUUUAUUCUGACAUCUCCACCGACAUAGCUUGGUUGGGGUGGCCUCAUGUCCACCCAUUUGGUAUUUUGGCUUCUAUGUCUUCCCCUUCUUCAGAGGCUUCAUAAUAUCUGAAUACCUCUGAUAAACCCUUUGGUUGAGAAUCUUCUCCUAACCUUUGGAAAACAUCUCUGGAGGUCUCUUUCUCAGCUGCCCGCAUGAUACUUUUGUGGUCCUUUUGCUCUUCUUUCUCCUUCUUCCUAAUCAACUCUUGAUUAAUAAUAACUCCUGAAGCUGGGACUUCCAACUCACAUUCACACUGACAUUUUCUACAUAACACCAACCCUUUAAUUAUGGCUGUUUUGGGUUUCUCGGGCAACUUGAUAGUUCAUUCAGUAGCCCUAUCAUUUGGUCGCCUUUCAGCCUUUGCUUCCCACGUGGCUUUUCCUUUUCCUUUCUCAGCCCAAGCCAAGUUGAUCAUGUUAAUUAGGGCUUCUGGGAAAGGAUCUAUGUCAAUCAUCAUAUUGGCCUAGGGUUUUUCCAACAACAACUUUCCCUUGACUAUGAGGUCUUGUAUCAAAUCCCUGAAUUUGACACAGUUGGCUAUAGAGUGGUUAAAAGUGUAGUGUAGUGCAGCUUGCAAUACUUCUUUCCCCUUAUCUCUUCUGACUUAAACAUCUUUUUGGUGCUAUCGGGCACAAUCAUUCUUGCCCGCACCAACUCUUCAUAGAUCUCUGAGGCCUUGGUUAGAUCAAAAGAAUAACUCUGGAAUUUAGGGGGUUUCAUAUGGACAAAUCCACCAUAAUUCAUUACCACUUUCUGAUCCUUGACUGGUUGGACUAAACCUUUCACUAUUAAAAGUUUAAAGGGGGUAGUCAUCUCUGCCUCACAUAUGUCCAUCCCUUCUCUUCCAUGGCCAUCAUUUUGUUCUGGCUUAACUCCUUCAAAAUCCAGUUGGUGAAUUGCAGCUUUAUUUUUGUAAAAAUAAAGAGCCUUGGAUGAAUGUUUCACUUGUUGUUCUUCAAGUAAUAGGUCUUCAUACUUGUUGCAGCAAUUACCAACUCUUGCAACUCAUUAAAUUGUACAUCAUAAAACGUUUUCCUCAAAGGUAGCCUUAAAGCUUUAUGAGCAAUGGAUAUGAGUUGGGCAUGAUUGAUAGGGAAUUGUCACCUCAUUCUUGUCCUUCUGAACCUCAUCAUGAAGUCCUCUGUAGACUCAUGUUCAUAUUGCUUCACCUCCACUAAGUCAUUGAUAAACAUCUCGGGCUCCAUUUUAUAGAAUUGUUCAUGGAAAGCCAUCUAUUUGCCCCCAGUUAGCAAUAGAAUUAGGAGGCAAAAAAGAGUACCACUGAGAUGCUAGACCCACCAACGAGUUCCCAAACAAUCUUAACUUAUAAUUAAGAUUGUCCUUGAAUGCCAGCAAUGGUUGGAGAACUUAAAAAUGUGAUCUCUACAGGACACACUGCCAUUUUCUCCAUUAAAAGUGGGGAACGUGGGCAUCUUGAAGUUGAGUGGAAACAGAUUCUGCUCAUCGAUAUGCUCGGGGUAUGGCUUCUAGUAAGUGAUCCUGAACAGCGGACGAGCUUAAGGUUGAGCAUUCUGGGCCACCAUCCUUCUUAACUCACCUAACUCAUCUCUGAGCUGCUGGUUGGCUGUAUUAUUGUAUGGGGGAUGUGAGGUUUCCUAUUUUGGGCUGUGAUCAUUGCCCGAGAAGGUUUCCUUUCUUGGGUCAAGCUGUCUCUACUUGGCAUCCCCUUCCUUACUGACCAAUGGUAGGGGCCUAUAAGGAGAAUGGUUGUCUACCUUGGUAGGCUCACCUUUUCCACUAGAUUCUCCGAUUACCUAAGGCAUCCCAUACUUCGUUCUUUCUUUUCGCUCUACCCCUACUAUCUAGUGGAAAUAAUAAGGGAUUGAGCAAUUCUAUUUCCAAGAUCUUCUCCAACAUUGGGUGACUAGCUGUAGAUCCUUCCUUAUAUUUUCCCUUUAUCCCUCAUUUCCUCAAGCACAGGAAAUAGGGGGAUAACUGGUUCUUUCUCAGGGUUCUCUUGCCUCAUCACUUCCCUGGCAUAACCAUUUUUUGGAUUAGAGUACUCCAGAUCUAAUCUUCUUUGCAGACUCUCUGUUAAGGAACAAAGUCUGCUUACUUCUCCUCUGGUUUCCAGAGUGAUCUUUUCCAUACUUUUCAACACUUGUACCAUGGUGGCUUGCAAAUCUUCAUUGGUCACUUUCCUUCUUAACUUCUCAGAUGAAGUCGGGCUUCUAGAAUAACUGGUCUUUGCAAGGAAGGAAAAUCUUCUGGAUGAUUUGUCAUGCUCGAUCUUGGUAGACACUAGGGUGGCACGUAUUUUAUGUUCCACCUGAAGGUUUUCUCCGUCCUUCUUCUUCUUGGCAUACAAGAUUAACUAAGGUCCCACCGACGUGCCAAAACUAUGUUUAGGCAAAGAUUUCUCUAGGGAAUGAUCCUAGGACCUUAGCACAACUCCCCAAGGGAUUGGCAAUUUGGAUGAGUAGUCGGGCUCGUGCUUGUUGAUGUUCUACAAGAAGAGGACAAAGUCAAUUCUAAAAGGUGCCUUUGUGUGGGGCCUUAUGUGUAGGCCUUGAGGCUUACAAUCAAAACUAAUUGAGUGCUAGGCAUGCCACUGCUAUCUUAGUAUAGCAGAUGUAGAACAAGAGUGUGUUUAGUCGAUUACUUGCACCCCAAGUUACCCAGACUUCUUGUUAUCAAAGGAUUGUUGUAGAUGCGUUAAGUCUACAUUAAGUUCUUUUUCUUGCCUUGUAAACAAGGACUUUUAGUUCAUAGUCUUGUAUGUUUGAAUGAAGGGAGUCCAAAUCCCUUUAAGUCAUUUGUUUGAUCCUAGAUUGCUUUCAAUGAUAACAUAUUCAUUAAACUAGCCAGAUCCAAAUGCAAAUAAGACUCUUAAAGUAGGAAAGCAGGUGAAAAUAACUUGAAGGGUAAAUCGCCAAAAUGGUCCCUGAGAUUUGCAUAACUCAUCAUUUUGGUCCCUGAGAUUCCAAAUCGAUAAAAGUGGUCCCUGAGAUUGUCCACCAUCCAUCAUUUUGAUCCUUCCGUUAAAAUCUCCGUUAAGUGUCUUGGAGCUCUUGGCCAGAAGUUUGGGCAAUUUUCAAAGCUUCGUAACUCAAUCGUUGCUUAACCAAAUUUGACCCAUAAUAUAUCAAAAUCAAGAUAGGAAAGUGUAGAAUAAUAUUAUAACUAUUUCGAAGCCCAAUGGUUGCCGAAGAGGGCCGGAACAUAGCCUCAAAGUUGGCUGGUCCUAGUGAAAACUUGAAAACUCGCCAGAAACUGGGUAAACUUUAAACGUUUAUAACCUUUUCAAUACUUAACGAAAUCAAGUGAUUCAAAAACAAAAAUCAUACUUCUUGACGAGAUGAAGAGAAUGGUACGUAUUUAGAUGGAUAACUCACCAUGAUUUUGUUGGAAAUGUGCCCUAAAACCAAUCAUAUGAUGAUACUUUACGGACAUUUCACAUGUUAAACUAAUCUAGUUUAAUAUCAAGGGCAAAUAUUAUUGUUUGAGCCGUCUCAUAUAAAUGUUAUACGCUUAAACGAUAAGUCCAAGGAAUAUGUGAUUGGGAGAAUGCGAUCUAAAGAAGUUAGAUUCAUAAGACCAUUCUUUCGUAGAUACAUCCUAAACGUUCCUGAUCAUAGGAUUGCCAAUUGGGCAUUGCCAGUCCGUUAAGAUCAGUACGUGUUGUGUCUUCUCUUAGGGAGAGUGACUAGUCUCGAGUCAUUGGUGUGUGUGACAUCAAG
rnacentral:lncRNA from 1 species